rnacentral:rRNA from 1 species
CCUACGGGUGGCAGCAGUGAGGAAUAUUGGUCAAUGGACGAGAGUCUGAACCAGCCAAGUAGCGUGAAGGAUGACUGCCCUAUGGGUUGUAAACUUCUUUUAUAUGGGAAUAAAAUGUUCCACGUGUGGGAUUUUGUAUGUACCAUAUGAAUAAGGAUCGGCGAACUCCGUGCCAGCAGCCGCGGUAAUACGGAGGAUCCGAGCGUUAUCCGGAUUUAUUGGGUUUAAAGGGAGCGUAGGUGGAUUGUUAAGUCAGUUGUGAAAGUUUGCGGCUCAACCGUAAAAUUGCAGUUGAAACUGGCAGUCUUGAGUACAGUAGAGGUGGGCGGAAGUCGUGGUGUAGCGGUGAAAUGCUUAGAUAUCACGAAGAACUCCGAUUGCGAAGGCAGUUCACUGGACUGCAACUGACACUGAGGCUCGAAAGUGUGGGUAUCAAACAGGAUUAGAUACCCUUGUAGUC